UAGGGAAUCUUCGGCAAUGGACGAAAGUCUGACCGAGCAACGCCGCGUGAGUGAAGAAGGUUUUCGGAUCGUAAAACUCUGUUGUUAGAGAAGAACAAGGACGUUAGUAACUGAACGUCCCCUGACGGUAUCUAACCAGAAAGCCACGGCUAACUACGUGCCAGCAGCCGCGGUAAUACGUAGGUGGCAAGCGUUGUCCGGAUUUAUUGGGCGUAAAGCGAGCGCAGGCGGUUUCUUAAGUCUGAUGUGUAAGCCCCCGGCUCAACCGGGGAGGGUCAUUGGAAACUGGGAGACUUGAGUGCAGAAGAGGGGAGUGGAAUUCCAUGUGUAGCGGUGAAAUGCGUAGAUAUAUGGAGGAACACCAGUGGCGAAGGCGGCUCUCUGGUCUGUAACUGACGCUGAGGCUCGAAAGCGUGGGGAGCAAACAGG
rnacentral:rRNA from 1 species